rnacentral:tRNA from 1 species
CCUUCGAUAGCUCAGUUGGUAGAGCGGUGGACUGUAGCGAGUUUACAUUGUAGAUAUCCAUAGGUCGCUGGUUCAAAUCCGGCUCGAAGGA